rnacentral:rRNA from 1 species
GUCCUUUUGAAUAUUUAUUUAAGGUCUAACCUGCCCUAUGAUUUAUUAAAUGGCCCGCGGUACAUUAACCGUGCAAAGGUAGCAUAAUCAUUUGUCUUUUAAUUGGAGGCUAGUAUGAAUGGUUGGACGAGAAAUAAUCUUUCUUAAUUGUAUUUUAUUGAAUUUUAUUUUUAAGUCAAAAAGCUUAAAUUUUUUUAUAGGACGAGAAGACCCUAUAGAAUUUUAUAUAUCUUAUAUUAAUAUUUAUUUGGUUCUUAUUUGUUAUUAUUAUAUCUUAUAUUUUGUUGGGGCGACAGGAAAAUUAUUUUAACUUUUUUUAUUUUAUCUCAUUGAUUUAUGUUUAUUUGAUCCAUUUUUAGUGAUUAUAAGAUUAAAUUACCUUAGGGAUAACAGCGUAAUUCUUCUGGAGAGUUCUUAUCGAUAGAGGAGUUUGCGA